GGGCGCAUGGUUUAGGGGUAUAAUAUCUCAUUUGCAAUGAUUCUUCUGAGGAGUCAUAAAAAUUUGAGAUGGUCCUGGGUUCGAUUCCCAGUACGUCCA
rfam:Tuber melanosporum whole genome shotgun sequence assembly, scaffold_39, strain Mel28